GGGAGACCUCAAAUUGUUUGGAUUAGAACUUACUUGAGUUGAGUCUGGAACACUUUAUGAAGGAUGAAUGCAACAAAUUAUAUAAUAUGCCUAGAGAAUUUGGCUUCCCUAGGAUGUCAUUUUUUCAAUGCAUUCUCACUCAUGUAAUGAAGUUAGGUGUAAAGGAAACAAAGUCCAAGUACAAGUAAAACUCACAUGCCUCUUAAAGGAAAGCCAAAAAAUGAACAAAAGAAGAUCCUAUAGUAUUUUCAGCAGAAAUGCAUAGCAUUAAAGCUAAUCGAACAUCAGAUGAUUCAACUCAAAGAAUGAGUUAAAAAAAUGCAAGUAAACCUUUCUGCAUGUUGUUACUGGAU
rnacentral:misc_RNA from 1 species